rnacentral:rRNA from 1 species
AUUGAACGCUGGCGGCAGGCCUAACACAUGCAAGUCGAACGAGUGGCGGACGGGUGAGUAAUGUCUGGGAAACUGCCUGAUGGAGGGGGAUAACUACUGGAAACGGUAGCUAAUACCGCAGACCAUCAGAUGUGCCCAGAUGGGGUUGGCUUGGUGGUGGGGUAACGGCUCACCAGGGCGGGGAUCCCUUGCUGGACUGAGAGGAUGACCGGCCACCGUGGAACUGAGACACGGUCAAGACGCCUACGGGAGGCAGCAGUGGGGAAUGUUGGACAGUGGGCGCAAUCCUGAUGCAGCCAUGCCACGUGUAUGAAGAAGGCCUUCGGGUUGUAAAGUACUUUCAGCGGGGAGGCGUUACCCGCAGAAGAAGCACCGGCUAACUCCGUGCCAGCAGCCGCGGUAAUAC